rnacentral:rRNA from 1 species
UACGGAGGAUGCAAGCGUUAUCCGGAUUUAUUGGGUUUAAAGGGUGCGUAGGCGGGAAAAUAAGUCAGUGGUGAAAUCCUACAGCUUAACUGUAGAAUUGCCGUUGAUACUGUUUUUCUUGAGUAUGGUUAAGGUAGGUGGAAUGUGCAUGUAGCGGUGAAAUGCAUAGAGAUUGCACAGAAGGCCGAUUGCGAAGGCAGCUUACUGAACCAUAACUGACGCUCAGGCACGAAAGCGUGGGGAUCAAACAGGAUUAGAUA